rnacentral:rRNA from 1 species
UUCGAAGGGGGCUAGCGUUGCUCGGAAUCACUGGGCGUAAAGGGUGCGUAGGCGGGUCUUUAAGUCAGGGGUGAAAUCCUGGAGCUCAACUCCAGAACUGCCUUUGAUACUGAAGAUCUUGAGUUCGGGAGAGGUGAGUGGAACUGCGAGUGUAGAGGUGAAAUUCGUAGAUAUUCGCAAGAACACCAGUGGCGAAGGCGGCUCACUGGCCCGAUACUGACGCUGAGGCACGAAAGCGUGGGGAGCAAACAGG